GACCUCGCAGGCCCUCAUCGUUGAGCCUCGGUUUGCACAUCUCUGAAAUGAGGACCGUCGCAGUGUACACCUCAUAGGGACACAGAGUGGGAUCUUUUCAUCUAUAGAUGAAUUAAGUCACAACAACAGGGGAAUGCUUUGUUUUCUAAGUCGCAGGACACCAUCAAAUCAUUGCUUAGAAACAACGUGUUUCUCAAUUCAUUUAGGGAUGUUCCAUUCUACGCAUUCUACAGAUGAGGAAGCUAAGGCCGGCAGGCACAGUCCAGCCCUUCCAUGUUCCAUGAAAGAGGACUGGAGCACAGCCACAGCGCUGACCCCAGCGCUCCCCCAAUACCUCCCUCCUGAAAUUAGGUGUGGCCCUAUCUAGGCCAAGUUCCCCGUGGAGAAAGAGCAAAGCGCUGGCGGUAAUGCUCGUCUCCCUUGUUUGCUAAUGGCUCUUCCUGGACUUGGUCUCUUGCCCCUUCUCCCUGUGACCUGGCCGAUAGAUGGGCCACAACUCAGUUUCAACCAUGGAAACCAGGACAACACCCAGGGGCUCACCCACCCGCCGGGACUGCUCACCUCAGACCCUUCUGUCUUCUUUAAUUCAUGGGAUUUUGGACCUCUUGGUUACAGCCACUUAGCUUUAUGGUAACGGUACACCAAGGUUGCCCAGCGUGGAGGUGGGUUGUAGACUCCAGGUUAUAAUACUUCAUUCUAUAUGCGGGGCCCUGUUUCCAGGCACCAGGGUUGAAGCAACAAACCGAGGCACCAAGGAUGCCGGCCCAAAGGUGGAUCUUUGAAAAAUGGCCAUCAUAUCAUCACCCCCGGUUCAAAACCCUCCGAGGCUUCCCACGGCCCUCAGGAUGCUGCCUGCCUUUGAUCUGCAAGCAGGACAGACUCUCUGCUGCCUCAGGACCCUUGCACAUGCUGUCUCCUCUCUCCAGAGUGCUCUUUCCUCUGUAUUUCACUGAGCUACAUCUGGAUGUAAAGCCACCUCUUCAGAGAAGCCUUCUAUGAUGCCCCACAGAAGCCACCAGCGUGCACACUUAGGAGGGCCUCGCAUCCAAGGCUCUGCCCCAAAUGCAGGCGUGGACACGUCACCGAAUUCUUGCGGCAAUCCUAUGGCUCCAUUUUACAGAUGAGGAAACUGAGGCUCAGAGAGCUAAUGCUCAUGCUCAGGGGCUCACUAGCUG